GGCGGGACUUCCGGGGCGGUGGUUGCAUCAGAUUCUGGGAAGCUGUCGCCGCGGCAGCGGGUGAGGGAUACCCACGAUGGCAGGUUCUACAGAGGAUCAGGCUCCCGACUACAGGUCCAUCCUGAGCAUUAGUGACGAGGCGGCCAGGGUGCGGGCCCUGGACCAGCACCUCAGCACGCGUAGCUAUGUCCAGGGGUUCUCACUGUCCCAGGCAGACGUGGACGCGUUCAGGCAGCUCUCGGGCCCUCCCGCCGACGCGCAGCUCUUCCACGUGGCUCGGUGGUUCAGACACGUGGACGCCAUCCUGGGCGGCCCCCAAGCCACCGGCUCACCCUGUGGGCCCCCAGCAAGUAGAGGCCGGCGCGCACAGCCGCAGUGGGCUCCUCCGGCCGGGCCCGAGCCGUGCCAGCUCCGCCUGUACAACAGCCUGACCCGGAGUAAGGACGUGUUUGUACCUCAAGACGGGAAAAGGGUGACGUGGUACUGCUGUGGGCCCACCGUCUACGACGCCUCUCACAUGGGACACGCCAGGUCCUACAUCUCCUUCGACAUCCUGAGGAGGGUGCUCAGGGAUUACUUCAACUUCGACGUCUUUUACUGCAUGAACAUCACGGACGUCGAUGACAAGAUCAUCAGGCGGGCCCGGCAGAACUACUUGUUCGAGCGGUACCGGGAGAAGCAGCCCUCGGCAGCCCAGCUCCUGGAGGACGUGCAUGCCGCCCUGCAGCCGUUUGCAGCAAAGUUAAAGGAGACCACGGAUCCUGACAAGAAGCAGAUGCUGGAGCGCCUGGAGCGCGCGGUGACGCGGGCCGCCGAGCCGCUGGAGGAGGCCGUGCGGGCCAGCCUGGCGGGGGAGGAGCUGGACGGCCGCGUGCAGGUGUUGUUGGCAGAAGCAAAGGACCUACUUUCCGACUGGCUGGAUUCCACCCAUGGCAGCGAAGUGACUGACAAUUCCAUCUUCUCGCAGCUGCCCAAGUUCUGGGAGGCGGAAUUCCACAAGGACAUGGAGGCCCUGAACGUCCUCCCACCAGACGUCUUAACCCGCGUUAGUGAGUACGUGCCCGAGAUCGUGGACUUUGUCCAGAAGAUCAUGGACAAUGGUUACGGCUACGCUUCCAACGGGUCCGUCUACUUCGACACGGUGAAGUUUGCUAACAGCGAGGGACACUGCUACGGGAAGCUGGUGCCGGAGGCUGUCGGGGACCAGAGAGCCCUGCAGGAGGGCGAGGGCGACCUGAGCAUCUCGGCCGAGCGCCUGAGCGAGAAGCGGUCCCCCAACGACUUCGCCCUCUGGAAGGCGUCCAAGCCGGGGGAGCCAUCCUGGCCAUGCCCCUGGGGAAGGGGGCGUCCGGGAUGGCACAUUGAGUGCUCAGCCAUGGCAGGCACCCUCCUGGGAGCCUCGAUGGACAUCCACGGAGGGGGCUUCGACCUCCGCUUCCCCCACCACGACAACGAGCUGGCGCAGUCGGAGGCCUACUUUGAAAACGACUGCUGGGUCAGGUACUUCCUGCACACGGGCCACCUGACCAUCGCGGGCUGCAAGAUGUCCAAGUCGCUCAAAAACUUCAUCACCAUCAAAGACGCCCUGAAGAAGCACUCGGCGCGGCAGCUGCGCCUGGCCUUCCUCAUGCACGCGUGGAAGGACACGCUGGAUUACUCGAGCAACACCAUGGAGUCGGCGCUGCAGUACGAGCGGUUCCUGAACGAGUUUUUCUUAAAUGUGAAAGACCUCCUGCGAGCGCCCGGGGACGUCACUGGCCAGUUUGAGAAGUGGGAGGGGGAGGAGACCGAGCUGAACAAGUGCUUUUAUGACAAGAAGGCCGCGGUUCACGAAGCGCUCUGUGAUAACGUGGACACGCGCACCGCCUUGGAGGAGAUGCGGGCUCUGGUCAGCCAGUGCAACCUCUACACGGCGGCCCGGAAGGCCGCGAGAAGGAGGCCCAACCGGGCCCUGCUGGCGAGUGUCGCCAACUACCUCACCCACAUGCUGAAGAUCUUCGGGGCCAUAGAAGAGGAGAGCCCCCUGGGCUUCCCUGUCGGAGCACCUGGGACCAGCCUCAGCCUCGAGUCCACGGUCAUGCCGUACCUCCAGGUGUUGUCGGAGUUCCGGGAAGGAGUGCGAAGCAUCGCCCGGGAACGCAGAGUCCCCGAGGUCCUGCAGCUCAGUGACGCCCUGCGGGACGACAUCCUGCCUGAGCUGGGGGUGCGGCUGGAGGACCACGAAGGACUGCCCACUGUGGUCAAGCUGGUGGACAGAGACACCUUACUGCGGGAGCGAGAAGAGAAGAAAAGGAUUUUAAGGAAAGAUCGGUCGCUUUUGGUAAACUGCGAGGCUGACAGGUGCGGCGUGGUCAUGCGCUGCCCUCCCGUUGAGGAGGAGAAGAGGAGGAAGAAAGAGGAGGCCGCCAGGAAGAGACGAGAGCAGGAAGAGGCGAAACUGGCCAAGAUGAAGGUUCCGCCCGGUGAGAUGUUCUUGUCUGAAAGUGACAAGUAUUCCAAGUUCGACGAAAACGGCCUGCCCACACACGACGCGGAGGGCAAAGAGCUCAGCAAAGGGCAGGCCAAGAAGCUGAAGAAGCUCUUCGAGGCGCAGGAGAAGCUGCACAAGGAGUACCUGCAGCUGGUUCAGAACGGGGGCUUCCCGUGAGGGCGCCAGCCGCUGCCCGGGCGCCCGUCGUCUUUACGGCGUCCUCGGGGCUGCGCUGAGGAUCCUGUGUCCAGAGAGGUCCGGGCCACCUUCGGCUCUGAAACGUCCUGAGGCUUAUGGUGGAGGCUUCACACACAAGGCCCCAGGUGCUGGGAGCCGGUUUUCCAAGCGGAUGUGUUCGGGCAGGGAGCCCACCGCGGAAGGCCUCGCAGCAUCCUGAUGUGGGGUCUCAGUUACCAGACCAGGGACUACACCUGGGCCGCAGCAGUGAAAAACCCAAACCCUAACUACCAGGCCACCAGGAAGUUCACACAUUUUCACUGCGCAAAAUGUUUUUCUAACGUUCCAUGCAUGGAGCCAUGUUCCCUGGAACCACAGAACGUUGGCACUAAAAGGUGCCUGAAAGAUGGCGCAUCUCCGUCAGCAGAUGAGGAAGCCGAGGUCCGGGAAGGUCAGUGUCUUCCUCAAGGUCAUAAACCCAGGGUAGGAAAACUGCAGAGAGCGGACGAUCCACAAGGAUCGAUGGGCCCGGUGUUGGCCGUGGGCUGAAAGCUGCCCUGAGAAGGACCUCACGUCCCGCACGAUGCCCAACGUAGACCCAGCGUCCCCACGACAGUCCGGGAGAACGUCCUUCUCUCACGAGGGAACACCUGGCCCUUUUUACUGCUGAAUCCCAGCCGAAGCAGGUGCCCUGUUUUUUAAUGGGCCAAGUUGUGUGGGGGAAAAAAAAAAAAAAGACACGAUAAGAAAUAUCUGGGGGAGGAGUUCCCUGGUGACUCAGCAGCUUACAGAUCCAGUGUCAUCACUGCUGUGGCUCGGGUUCGAUCCCUGACUGGGGACCUUCCGCAUGCCACAGGCACCGCCACAAGAAACAGUGUGGGGAGAAGAAUGGGUUUAUGUACAUGUCACUGAAACCCUUUGCUGUACACCUGAAGCUCACACAACACUGUAAGUCAACUGUACUCUGAAAUAAAAUAAAAAUGAAUGCCUGGGGAGUGAGAGCAAAUGAGGACUGUUCUUGGGGUGAAAAGGGGACUUGAAUAACCCAGCUUGCUUUAUACUUCUGCUUGUCCCCUAAUUGUGUGCUUUAAAAAAAAAAUUCCUGAUUGUACAGAGAGGAGUUUAUGUUAUACUUUUAAAGAAUGAAACAUUCCUGAGUUGAUUUAGAAGGUUUGUGUUUGGGUUUCAGAUGGCUGUGAUUGCUACUUUGAUGUAUGAAUAGCCCACGUGAGUCUGGUGGGUUUUGUUUAGCUCCACCCGCGGCAGGUGCAAGUUCCUGGGCAGGGAUCAAACCCACGCCUCAGCAGUGACGCCUCAGCAGUGACGCCAUUGCAGUGACACUGGAUCCUUAACCCACUGCACCACAAGGGAACUCCAAGCUUGAUUUUUGUUCUUGUUCCUGCUGUGGUUUAUUCUGCUGAUAACAUUAUCAGUAGGUCUUAACCUUACCCAGAAUCAGCUGCUGGCUAAGCCGGCAUAAAUGUAAGCGCCACACCCUCGGCUCUGUAUCUUGGCACUUUCGUAGGAGUAAACGCAAAGAAGGAACCGUUAGACCUAAAAUUUGGAUGCCUAUUUUCACGUAACUCUUUCAGAUUGCGUCCCAGGAGGAAUUCCCAUUGUGGCACAGCGGGAACAAACCCGACUAGGAACCAUG